UACGGAGGGUGCAAGCGUUGUUCGGAAUUACUGGGCGUAAAGCGCACGUAGGCGGAUUAGUAAGUCAGGGGUGAAAUCCCGGGGCUCAACCUCGGAACUGCCUUUGAUACUGCUAAUCUCGAGUCCGAUAGAGGUGAGUGGAAUUCCUAGUGUAGAGGUGAAAUUCGUAGAUAUUAGGAAGAACACCAGUGGCGAAGGCGGCUCACUGGAUCGGUACUGACGCUGAGGUGCGAAAGCGUGGGGAGCAAACGGG
rnacentral:rRNA from 1 species